AUCCAGCUGACGAGUACCGAAUAGGACUUGACGCGCUUCCUGGAU
rfam:Schistosoma mansoni, Puerto Rico, WGS project CABG01000000 data, contig: 0224